GAAAUGCGAUAAGUAAUGUGAAUUGCAGAAUUCCGUGAAUCAUCGAAUCUUUGAACGCACAUUGCGCCCUCUGGUAUUCCGGGGGGCAUGCCUGUCCGAGCGUCAUUGCGAACCCCUCAAGCACGGCUUGUGUGAUGGGCCCUCCCGCGUCUUGGUCGUCAAGACGGGCCCGAAAUGCAGUGGCGGCUUCGCGGUUAUCCGAUCAGCCAGAGCAUAUGGGGACUUUCUCUCUGUCACACGCCCGCGGCGCGGACCGACGCCUGUCGACCUUCAUUCAUCGUUUUCUCGGUUGACCUCGGAUCAGGUAGGGAUACCCGCUGAACUUAAGC
rnacentral:misc_RNA from 1 species